rnacentral:misc_RNA from 1 species
CUUAUUGAAAAUUUGGAAUUUUGAAGAUUUGAAAGAUAACUAUCAGAGUGUUCUGUUUUAUCUUUUUCCUUCUGAGGGUUAAGAUAGUGUCAUAAAUUAAGGGCAUUGUAUGGUCCAGGUUUUGAUUGAAGAAAAUCUUAUCAUCUGUAGUGUACAUUGUAUUGAGGGUCUGUCAGUUGAAGAACUUUAACAUGUACACUACAGAUGAUAAGAUUUUCUUCAAUCAAAACCUGGACCAUACAAUGCCCUUAAUUUAUGACACUAUCUUAACCCUCAGAAGGAAAAAGAUAAAACAGAACACUCUGAUAGUUAUCUUUCAAAUCUUCAAAAUUCCAAAUUUUCAAUAAGCAGACAAUCUAAUU